UACGUAGGUGACAAGCGUUGUCCGGAUUUACUGGGCGUAAAGGGCUCGUAGGCGGCCAACUAAGUCGGAUGUGAAAUCCCCAGGCUUAACCUGGGAACUGCAUCCGAUACUGGAUGGCUUGAAUCCGGGAGAGGGAUGCAGAAUUCCAGGUGUAGCGGUGAAAUGCGCAGAUAUCAGGAGGAACACCGGUGGCGAAGGCGGGUCUCUGGGCCGAUACUGACGUGAGGAGCGAAAGCGUGGGGAGCAAACAGG
rnacentral:rRNA from 1 species